UUAACUUAUUUGUGUUUUACUCAGAGAUGCCACUAUAAUACAUAAGAGUUUCUGACCUCCGGCGGGCGCCCCGCACCUCCGGGGAGGCGCGGCGCCGCGGAACCCCCGGGGGGGUAGCCGCACCGCCGAAGCAACUUGGACGAGUUCGCGAUGGUUUGAAGUAGCCUUUCGGCUUCUUGUAAUGAUCCCUCCGCUGGUUCACCAACGGAGA
rnacentral:misc_RNA from 1 species